rnacentral:lncRNA from 1 species
AUUUGAGGUCCAAAAAUUUACAAACUGAACUAAGAUGAAAUCUAACUAAGCCAUAUGACUCACUAACUAAGCCAGUUACCUGGUUUUGUGAGACAAAAAGUUACUUUUUGUUGAGCCAUAGUUGAAAAGAAAAUCAGAUUAGUUACUUGUGAGAAGGAAAGUUUGUUUACAUUAACCCAUGUGAGCUAUCACAUCACUUUCUCUUCUUUGUGUUU